rnacentral:rRNA from 1 species
GAUGAACGCUGGUGGCGUGCCUAAUACAUGCAAGUCGAGCGAACGGACGAGAAGCUUGCUUCUCUGAUGUUAGCGGCGGACGGGUGAGUAACACUUGGAUAACCUACCUAUAAGACUGGGAUAACUUCGGGAAACCGGAGCUAAUACCGGAUAAUAUUUUGAACCGCAUGGUUCAAAAGUGAAAGACGGUCUUGCUGUCACUUAUAGAUGGAUCCGCGCUGCAUUAGCUAGUUGGUAAGGUAACGGCUUACCAAGGCAACGAUGCAUAGCCGACCUGAGAGGGUGAUCGGCCACACUGGAACUGAGACACGGUCCAGACUCCUACGGGAGGCAGCAGUAGGGAAUCUUCCGCAAUGGGCGAAAGCCUGACGGAGCAACGCCGCGUGAGUGAUGAAGGUCUUCGGAUCGUAAAACUCUGUUAUUAGGGAAGAACAUAUGUGUAAGUAACUGUGCACAUCUUGACGGUACCUAAUCAGAAAGCCACGGCUAACUACGUG